rnacentral:rRNA from 1 species
CUAUACGGGAGGCAGCAGUGGGGAAUAUUGCACAAUGGGCGCAAGCCUGAUGCAGCCAUGCCGCGUGUGUGAAGAAGGCCUUAGGGUUGUAAAGCACUUUCAGUAAGGAGGAAAGGUUAGUAGUUAAUACCUGCUAGCUGUGACGUUACUUACAGAAGAAGCACCGGCUAACUCCGUGCCAGCAGCCGCGGUAAUACGGAGGGUGCGAGCGUUAAUCGGAAUUACUGGGCGUAAAGCGUACGCAGGCGGUUUGUUAAGCGAGAUGUGAAAGCCCCGGGCUCAACCUGGGAACUGCAUUUCGAACUGGCAAACUAGAGUAUGAUAGAGGGUGGUAGAAUUUCAGGUGUAGCGGUGAAAUGCGUAUAGAUCUGAAGGAAUACCGAUGGCGAAGGCAGCCACCUGGGUCAAUACUGACGCUCAUGUACGAAAGCGUGAGGAGCAAACGGGAUUAGAUACCCCGGUAGUCCACGCCGUAAACGAUGUCUACUAGGAGCUGGGGUCUUCGGACAACUUUUCCAAAGCUAACGCAUUAAGUAGACCGCCU